GCCUUGUGGACUGAGUGGCUGCCAGAUUGGGUUCUCAGCCCUUCCAUCAUGAGACAGCCAUUGUUGGGCUACCCAAACCACAGCCUGUGAUGGCCACAGUUGAAGCCUGCUUCCUCUGAACAAAAACUCUGAGUCUGAAGCCUAGACCAUGAACACCUACUGACUGGACCAUGGCCCCUUUGCAAUCCUCAGAAGCCACCAUUGCCUCCCACACCUGGAUCCCUGAGUCUUUCAGGCCCUUUCACUGCUCCAGCAUCAUCCACCAUUUGAGGAUGUUGGCCCUGUCACCUGAUUAAACAAAAGGAAGAAAGAAGAUGGAGGGAAAAACUGAACCAAAAGGAAAAAAAGCAAGCUGAUGCAUUUACUUGUCCUAGUCUUACUUCUCCAGACAAAAAUUGAGAAGAAGUAUGCAUUUGUCACUGCAGAUGGAUCCAAUGAAACAUAUCCUCCAGCCCUGGCCCAUUAAGGACACUGGUUGAGAGCAAGGAGACAAUGGAAGUCACCAGAAAGAGAGCAAACCUCCAAGUAAAGGGCAAAAGAGAUAUCAACCUUUCAUAUCAUCUGAAGUCAAGUCUGCCAGCCUAGGACAAAGUUAAAGCCCUAUGUGGCAGGAGAGAUGUUAUUUUACUAAUGACUCUGUUUUUAAUUACUGGGGCUUAGGACUGUAAUAGACUCAUUCAUCCAUCUGAAGAGGGCCUGAGUUUAAUUUUCCCUUGGGAUUUGAAACACUUCUCAUUUGCAUGGGACAUUAUAACACCUGUAUUCCUAUUUAAGGUAAACAUGAGCUUAUGUUCUACAAGGUAUCAGGACUACUAAUCAUAUGGGUCUCUUUUCAAGGUAAUCUCUAGAUUUUUCUGAUCAAUAUAAUAAUGUAGCUAACAGUACUGGACAUAGUUUGGAUCUCUGUUCUUGGUGGCAAAGUACUACACACAACACUUUCACUGAUCUAGUAUUAUAAUUUGUUUGCUUAAAGGGUAAUUCAUGCAUCAAAUGACAAUUAGAUUUAUCUGCAAUUUCUCAAAUUAAAACCACUCUGGAUAUCCUGCUAUUGAAAAAUAAAAAAAGAGGAGAGAUGUCAAAAUGCAAUCCAAGAAUGGAGUCCUGUGAGAAUUCUGUGUGCUUAUGAAAAAACUCCAAGGAAACAAGACAAGAGUCUUGUGACCUCACUUUCUCAAAACCACAGAAUUGUUCUUGGAAUGUGGGGGUUUUUUGUGCCUCUUCCAGGUAUAGCAGAUAGGAGUGAGUUUACUUCAGCUAUUUUUUUUUUCAUAUGCCUCUAGGGAAAAACAUGUUUUUCUUUCCACAUGCAGCUUGUCCUUGUGAUUGUACCCUGUAUUCAGGUGACUCUUUUUAUCUCUCAGAGUAUAAAUUAUCUGAUGUUCUGAAUAAAAUUGGCUAUUGUAUGAGACUUAGUCCACCUGAUUUUAGGCCCUGUUUUCCCAGAUUCAUGCCUCCAACCAGAGUGGUAAGCACAAGGGACCAGCAAUUUUGUUCUAAUCCUUGUUGUAUUCUCUGCACUUAGAGUGUGCCUGGCACACAGGCAAUGCUCAGUAUGUCUUUACUGGGUGAGCUGAACAGCCUUCUGGAGAUGUAUGUAUGUUAGUCC
ensembl:lncRNA